rnacentral:tRNA from 2 species
GGGAGUUUAGCUCAGCUGGGAGAGCAUCUGCCUUACAAGCAGAGGGUCAGCGGGUCGAUCCCGUUAACUCCCA